UCCACAUUUCGGUGGUGGGGCUGAGCCCUCAGCCACUGAGACUGCAGGAGCCGCAGCUGGUCGCCACCUCGACGUGUCCUGUCCAGCUGGUCUCCCACAAUCCUGUGUCUGGCCAGCACCUGGUUGUCAACGCUGAGAAGCGAGUCGCGCUGAUGUGGGAGUUACAACCAGAUGACUCGCCCAGCACACCGACUAUACACACAGAGUUUUCCAUACAGUACCGACCACUUCAUCUCUCCAGACCUUCGUCACGUACAGGUGUCCCUUCGACAUUAUCAAUUAUAAGACACUGUUUGUGGUAGAAGCCAGGGUAGAGCCCACCAAGGGCAGUGAGUUCUGCCGCGCCAGCCACUGUGU